GACGAACGCUGGCGGCGUGCCUAAUACAUGCAAGUAGGACGCAGUUGCGAACGGGUGAGUAACGCGUAGGUAACUGCCUAUUAGAGGGGGAUAACUAUUGGAAACGAUAGCUAAUACCGCAUACUAGUAGAUGGACCUGCGUUGUAUUAGCUAGUAGGUAGGGUAAUGGCCUACCUAGGCGACGAUACAUAGCCGAGCUUGUGGGGUGAUCGGCCACAAGGGGACUGGGACACGGCCCAGACUCCUACGGGAGGCAGCAGUAGGGAAUCUUCGGCAAAGGGGGGGACCCUGACCGGGCAAAGGCGCGUGGGUGAAGAAGGUUUUCGGAUCGUAAAGCUCUGUUGUUAAGGAAGCGGUACUUAACCAGAAAGGGACGGCUAACUACGUGCCAGCAGCCGCGGUAAUAC
rnacentral:rRNA from 1 species